rnacentral:tRNA from 1 species
ACCUCUGUGGCUUAGUGGUCAAGAGCACUGACUGUCACCCCGGGGGUGCUGGGUUCGAAUCCCGGCCAAGGUG